rnacentral:tRNA from 1 species
AGUUAAUAAGCUUUUCAGAAGCAUUUGUUUUGAAAACAUUUUAAAAAAGUUUAAAUCUUUUAUUAACUU